UAUCCUUAGAAAAUGCGGGCGUGACAGAGUGGUAUCAGAGCCAUCUUUCUUUCCGCUCUUGACCCGAGAGUCUUUUUCAGUCUUAGUCUAGACUUGUUUCUCUAGACUUAAAGAAGGUUAAAUUUGGAAGGCUCAACAUCCCGCUUCGCCACGCUCAACCAAGAAAGAGGUAAUAUAUUUUUAUGUGAAAAUUUUUUUUAUGAGAAAGUUUCGGAGAAAGGACGACGAGAAAAAAAUUUGAGAAAGAAAGAGGAGAAAAUUUUUAUAAGAAGGAGGAAGUAGAAUCUUUCUUUGAGAGAUUGAUUUCGAGUUGAGAAUAGUAUUUUCUGAUGUUUGAGAAAAGAGCAAGUUUUGAAGAGAAAUUACGAGUUUGAUUUCGAGUUUGAGUUUUAAAGUGUGAAAGUGUUGUGCUUAAGGAUGUGAAAAUGUUGUGUGCCAUAAUUGUUAUCUUGAGGUAGAAAUUUCGUUAAAUGUGAUAGUUGUUGAUGUAUGAGAUAAUGAAAUGUGUUGCGACCUUAGAGUGCCUAAGGCGUAGGCCUAGUUGACCGCGCAAAUAAUAGUUGAAAACUUAACCAUUGCUUUCCUGAGCAAUGAAACGAACGAGAAUCCGAAAGUUUGGAAUGAACCCCUAAAUUGAUCGAGGCACGACGAGACGAGAGGAUCGAGAUAGAGGAUGGAGGCCAAUGGACAAUGAAAUUUUUUCUAUUCUUGGAAUGGCGCGAAACAUUGGAGCAAGCUUGAUGUGUGAACUAUUUUACUAUUUCCUACGUUUCCCUGAACGACAAGAACAAAAAAAAAGAAUACGAGGAAGAUUUCAAGAAGUCGAAGAUAGCAAAGACGAAGUGAAGUUCAAACGCAAAAGAGGGUGCAAGACAAGGAGGGAUGAUGCGAAGUGCACGAUUUUUAAUAUAGUCUAAUCUCGCGUAAUUUUUAACAGUGGCAGCAAUGUGACGUUCAACGACAAUGUUAAACGACAUGAGGAAGCUGCUUGGAAGACAAGACGAUGGAAAAAUUCUUUACUCGAAGGACGUAAGUAAAUUUCGGGACGAAAUUUUUGGUAAGAUGGGUAGAUUGUAACACCCCGACUUUUUCUACUCUUUUUAUUGUGUUCUUGAAAGGACCGUCGUUUGUGCACUUGGAAAUUUUACGACCUUGUUAUAUUUUUUUCGGGAGAAGAAUUUUACCUUUUGGGCCAAACAUUUAUUUUUUUAACCCAAUUUAAAACCCAAUUGUGUUGAGCCCAAAACACAUUUUAUUUCUUUCUGUUUGAGCCAAUUUUGGAGAAGCCCAAAGAUUUUUCUUUUAUUCCACUACACUUUUAAAUCCCACUAUCUAUUCCAUUAUCUCAACAAGAAAUUAUAUACUCUAUUCCACUACCUCCACCACCACAAACAUCACAACGGCCAUUCAUGACUUUGCUUUUAGAGAUUUCCCCACUAAUUCUAAACAAUAUAUAUUCCUCCCACAUCAGUUUCCAACUCCACAUAUUUCACGUUUCACACAUCCAAUUUGGAGAGAAGAAAACCGAGAGGUGAGGGGAGAAAAGAGUGAGGCAGCGGUUGAUGAGAGGAGGAUUUCAAUCCUUUUGAGAGGGGUACGCCGACAGCAAUGGCACAGCGAGGUCUCGGAGUCGAGAGCAACAGCGAAUUUUGCUUACGGACAGCGGUGACCCCACGCGGCGUGCGACGGAGGAUAGGCGAGCGACAGCGUCUCCCAGCGGCGACGGAGCAGCGGCUACAACGGCAUCUCCCGGCAGCGAUGACGCUGAACGAACCCGACGGAUCGAUGGCAAACCUUCUGCACAGCAACUGUCGACGUCUAGCAGCAGCUAACCGACAAGCAGAGGCGCCGGCGUGAGCACCGACGCGAUAUGGAGAAUCUGGACGCGCGACAGCAGCGUCUCCCGGCUCUGAGCAGCAGCAACAAUGUGCAGCAAGGGCUGAUCGUGACAGCGAUGGACUCACGGCUGGAAGGCGGUGACAAAGAGCGACCCCAGCAGCGGCUGCUCGGUGAUGACGGCGACACUGCAAGACCUUCGACUGCACAGCAGCGACGACGCAGCAGCGCCGAGCGUCUGUGGUGGACACGGGUGACGAAUCGGAGUCAGCAGCGGCGACGUCGGCGGCGAACAGGCUGACCAACGGGCAGUAGCCGACGACGACCGAUCUGGACCGUGAGUUGCAGAGUUUACAGUGAUGGAACAAAACGAAUUGAUAGAGAGAUGAGUGAUGGUGGUCGAAAGAGGAAAGGGAGCGACGGCGGAGCAGCAACGUUCAUACAGCAGCGUCUCCCGGCUCUGUGCAGCAGCCAACAACAGCAACAACGUGCAGCAACGGGCCGAACAGCGAUGGCACCGCUCGUCUGCUCGACGAAUUCCGAACAGUGAAACAUCGCAAGUGAAUCGUGAUCGCAAGGGAAAGAAAGUGUUUUCGGAUUAAGCACACGAGGUUGAGCGGUGACGAGCGCGGUGGCUGUUGAGCAUAAAAGUGAAGAAUGUCUAUCAAAU